rnacentral:rRNA from 1 species
CGGGGGGAGCAAGCGUUGUUCGGAUUUACUGGGCGUAAAGGGCGCGUAGGCGGCGUGACAAGUCACUUGUGAAAUCUCCGGGCUUAACCCGGAGCGGCCAAGUGAUACUGUCGUGCUAGAGUGCGGAAGGGGCUACUGGAAUUCUCGGUGUAGCGGUGAAAUGCGUAGAUAUCGAGAGGAACACCUGCGGCGAAGGCGGGUAGCUGGGCCGACACUGACGCUGAGGCGCGAAAGCCAGGGGAGCGAACGGGAUUAGAUACCCCGGUAGUCCUGGCCUCAAACGAUGGAUACUUGGUGUCCGGGGUUACAUAGUCCCCGGGUGCCGGCGCUAACGCAUUAAGUAUCCCGCCUGGGGAGUACGGUCGCAAGACUG